GACGAACGCUGGCGGCGUGCUUAACACAUGCAAGUCGAACGGAAAGGCCCUGCUUUUGUGGGGUGCUCGAGUGGCGAACGGGUGAGUAACACGUGAGUAACCUGCCCUUGACUUUGGGAUAACUUCAGGAAACUGGGGCUAAUACCGGAUAGGAGCUCCUGCUGCAUGGUGGGGGUUGGAAAGUUUCGGCGGUUGGGGAUGGACUCGCGGCUUAUCGGCUUGUUGGUGGGGUAGUGGCUUACCAAGGCUUUGACGGGUAGCCGGCCUGAGAGGGUGACCGGCCACAUUGGAACUGAGAUACGGCCCAGACUCCUACGGGAGGCAGAAGUGGGGAAUAUUGCAUAAUGGGCGGAAGCCUGAUGCAGCAACGCCGCGUGCGGGAUGACGGCCUUCGGGUUGUAAACCGCUUUCGCCUGUGACGAAGCGUGAGUGACGGUAAUGGGUAAAGAAGCACCGGCUAACUACGUG
rnacentral:rRNA from 1 species